rnacentral:rRNA from 1 species
AGAGUUGAUCAUGGCUCAGGAUGAACGCUAGCGGCAGGCUUAACACAUGCAAGUCGAGGGGCAGCGGGAUGUAGCAAUACAUUGCCGGCGACCGGCGGAUGGGUGCGUAACGCGUAUGCAACCUACCUUAUACAGGGGAAUAACCUUUCGAAAGGGAGACUAACACCCCAUAGUAUUGAUUUAAGGCAUCUUAGAUUAAUUAAAUAUUUAUAGGUAUAGGAUGGGCAUGCGUAUGAUUAGCUAGUUGGUAAGGUAACGGCUUACCAAGGCGACGAUCAUUAGGGGUUCUGAGAGGAAGGUCCCCCACACUGGUACUGAGACACGGACCAGACUCCUACGGGAGGCAGCAGUGAGGAAUAUUGGUCAAUGGGCGCAAGCCUGAACCAGCCAUGCCGCGUGCAAGGAAGACGGCCUUAUGGGUUGUAAACUGCUUUUACAUAAGACUAACCGUAUAUUUGCGAAUAUACCUGAAUGUAUUAUGAGAAUAAGGAUCGGCUAACUCCGUGCCAGCCGCCGC